GAUCAUGGCUCAGGAUGAACGCUGGCGGCGUGCUUAACACAUGCAAGUCGAACGAAGCACUUUAACCUGAUUCUUCGGAUGAAGGUUUUUGUGACUGAGUGGCGGACGGGUGAGUAACGCGUGGGUAACCUGCCUCAUACAGGGGGAUAACAGUUAGAAAUGACUGCUAAUACCGCAUAAGACCACAGAGCCGCAUGGCUCGGUGGGAAAAACUCCGGUGGUAUGAGAUGGACCCGCGU
rnacentral:rRNA from 1 species